UACGUAGGGGGCGAGCGUUGUCCGGAAUUACUGGGCGUAAAGGGUGCGUAGGCGGCCGAUUAAGUUGGAUGUGAAAUCCCCGUGCUCAACAUGGGAGGUGCAUUCAAAACUGGUUGGCUAGAGUACAGGAGAGGGAAGCGGAAUUCCUAGUGUAGCGGUGAAAUGCGUAGAUAUUAGGAGGAACACCAGUGGCGAAGGCGGCUUUCUGGACUGACACUGACGCUGAGGCACGAAAGCGUGGGGAGCAAACAGG
rnacentral:rRNA from 1 species